CGGGGUGCAGCAGGCGCGAAAACUUUACAAUGCUGGCAACAGCGAUAAGGGGACCUCGAGUGCCAGGAUACAAUCUUGGCUGUCGUGAUGCCUAAAAAGCAUUGCAUAGCAACGGCCGGGCAAGACCGGUGCCAGCCGCCGCGGUAACACCGGCGGCUCGAGUGGUAACCGCUAUUAUUGGGUCUAAAGGGUCUGUAGCCGGCCGGAUAAGUCUCUUGGGAAAUCCGACAGCUCAACUGUCGGGCUUUCAGGGGAUACUGUUCGGCUCGAGGCCGGGAGAGGUGAGAGGUACUUCAGGGGUAGGGGUGAAAUCUUGUAAUCCUUGAAGGACCACCAGUGGCGAAGGCGUCUCACCAGAACGGUCCUGACGGCAAGGGACGAAAGCUAGGGGCACGAACCGGAUUAGAUACCCGGGUAGUCCUAGCCGUAAACGAUACUCGCUAGGUGUCGGCCACGGUGCGACCGUGGUCGGUGCCGUAGGGAAGCCGUGAAGCGAGCCACCUGGGAAGUACGGCCGCAAGGCUGAAACUUAAAGGAAUUGGCGGGGGAGCACAAGGGCGAAUNGCG
rnacentral:rRNA from 1 species